CCUACGGGUGGCAGCAGUGAGGAAUAUUGGUCAAUGGCCGAGAGGCUGAACCAGCCAAGUCGCGUGAGGGAGGAAUGUACAGAGUAUUGUAAACCUCUUUUGUCAGGGAGCAAAGUCACCGACGCGUGGGCGUUGGAGAGUACCUGAAGAAAAAGCAUCGGCUAACUCCGUGCCAGCAGCCGCGGUAAUACGGAGGAUGCGAGCGUUAUCCGGAUUUAUUGGGUUUAAAGGGUGCGUAGGCGGUUUAUCAAGUCAGCGGUAAAAUCGUGGAGCUCAACUCCGUCCAGCUGUUGAAACUGAUGAUCUUGAGUGGGCGAGAAGUAUGCGGAAUGCGUGGUGUAGCGGUGAAAUGCAUAGAUAUCGCGCAGAACUCCGAUUGCGAAGGCAGCAUACCGGCGCCCGACUGACGCUGAAGCACGAAAGCGUGGGUAUCGAACAGGAUUAGAUACCCCUGUAGUC
rnacentral:rRNA from 1 species